rnacentral:snRNA from 1 species
AUAUAUUUAUUCCAUAUAAAAUUGGAACAAUAUACGGAAGAUUAGCAUGGCCCUGCCAAGGAUGGUGCACAAAUGGGUGAAGCCUUUAAUACAGAU